rnacentral:tRNA from 1 species
GGUCCUGUAGCUCAGUUGGUUAGAGUGCCGCCCUGUCACGGCGGAGGCCGAGGGUUCAAGUCCCUUCAGGAUCG